rnacentral:rRNA from 1 species
UUCCAGACUCCUACGGGAGGCAGCAGUGGGGAAUAUUGGACAAUGGGGGGAACCCUGAUCCAGCGACGCCGCGUGAGUGAAGAAGUAUUUCGGUAUGUAAAGCUCUCUCAGCAGGGAAGAAAGAAAUGACGGUACCUGACUAAGAAGCCCCGGCUAACUACGUGCCAGCAGCCGCGGUAAUACGUAGGGAGCAAGCGUUAUCCGGAUUUACUGGGUGUAAAGGGCGCGUAGGCGGGAUGGCAAGUCAGAUGUGAAAUCCAAGGGCUCAACCCUUGAACUGCAUUUGAAACUGUCGUUCUUGAGUACUGGAGAGGUUGACGGAAUUCCUAGUGUAGCGGUGAAAUGCGUAGAUAUUAGGAGGAACACCAGUGGCGAAGGCGGUCAACUGGACAGCAACUGACGCUGAGGCGCGAAAGCGUGGGGAGCAAACAGGAUUAGAUACCCGCGUAU